rnacentral:rRNA from 1 species
GACGAACGCUGGCGGCGUGCCUAAUACAUGCAAGUAGGACGCAGUUGCGAACGUGUGAGUAACGCGUAGGUAACUACCUAUUAGAGGGGGAUAACUAUUGGAAACGAUAGCUAAUACCGCAUACUAGUAGAUGGACCUGCGUUGUAUUAGCUAGUAGGUAGGGUAAUGGCCUACCUAGGCAACGAUACAUAGCCGACCUGGGGAGGUGGUCGGCCCAACUGGGACUGAGGACCGGCCCAGACUCCUUCGGGAAGCAACCGUAGGGAAUCUUCGGCAAUGGGGGGAACCCUGAACGAGCAACGCCGCGUGAGUGGAGAAGGUUUUCGGAUCGUAAAGCUCUGUUGUUAAGGAAGCGGUACUUAACCAGAAAGGGACGGCUAACUACGUGCCAGCAGCCGCGGUAAUAC